rnacentral:rRNA from 1 species
GUGGAAGCAGAACUCACAGCACUAGAUACAGCUACGGUCGAACCAGAUUGGCUUCGUCGGCUCUUGAAUGACUUGCCGGUUGUUGACAUACCUGUACCAGGUAUCCUUAUGAACUGCGAUAAUCAAAAUGUGAUCACGAAAGUGAACAGUUCAAAGGAUAACAUGAAGUCAUCAAGACACGUUCAGAGAAGGUUAAAGUCUGUCAGGAAAAUGAAAAACUCCGGAGUUAUUGCAUUGGAUUAUAUCCAAACGUCUAAAAAUCUGGCAGAUCCUUUUACUAAGGGUCUAUCAUGUAAUGUGAUAGAUAAUGCAUCGAGGGAGAUGGGUAUGAGGCCCACAAUAUGA